UACGUAGGGUGCAAGCGUUAUCCGGAAUUAUUGGGCGUAAAGAGCUCGUAGGCGGUUUGUCGCGUCUGCUGUGAAAACUGGAGGCUCAACCUCCAGCCUGCAGUGGGUACGGGCAGACUAGAGUGCGGUAGGGGAGAUUGGAAUUCCUGGUGUAGCGGUGGAAUGCGCAGAUAUCAGGAGGAACACCGGUGGCGAAGGCGGGUCUCUGGGCAGUAACUGACGCUGAGGAGCGAAAGCGUGGGGAGCGAACAGG
rnacentral:rRNA from 1 species